CUUGGAUUGCCCUGACUGUACUGUCCCCUGCUCAACAGGAAGGGUGCUAACUUCUACCAAAGACAAGACAUUGAGUCAGACCUGCAUGAUUUUAUUUAAUCCUCCCCUAAUUCAGAAAGAUCACAGUUGCCUACAGGUAACUGAAACUGUGGGUUGGAGUGACCACUGUCCAGAUAUCUCCCCACAUUGGUAGUGAAGCGAGAGUAUUUGAGAAGAAGCAUGAGCAUUAUAAUAAGUGUCUGAGUGAGACCUGAAACUCCCUGUUGCUCCUGGUCUGAAAAACCUACACUGAACACAGCCCAGUCCUCCCACCAGAAUCUAAGCUACUUCUUUGGAACCCGUUGCCCAUUUCAGGGAAAGCUGGUUUGAUCAAAUUGAGGCCCAGGAGAAGGCAUGAAGUACAAGGAGAAGAUGAGCUCUCCUGCCAUCAGGGAAUAUUUCACCUCAUCAUUGCUCUAUGGCUGGGGAGUUGGUUUAGUGGCACAGCUCAAACAGGUACAUUACUAUUCUGGAGGGAUGAGGCCUCCUGUGGUGACUGAAUUGUGUCCCCCCAAAUUCAUAGUAACAUCCUAACCCCUAGUACCUCAGAAUGUGACUGUGUUUGGUGACAGUCUUUAAAGGGGUGACAUUAAAUGAGGGCUUUAAAAGUGGGCUUUAAUCUAAUACAAGUGCUGUCCUUAUAAGAAAAGAUUAGAACACAGAUAUACACAGAGGGAAGACCAGGUGAAGACACAGAAAGAAGCCAAGGAGAGAGGCCACCAUGACACCUUGAUCUUGGACUUCUAGCUUCCAGACUGUGAGAAAAUAAAUUUCUGUUGUUUAAUUCA